AUUGAACGCUGGCGGCAGGCCUAACACAUGCAAGUCGAGCGCGCGGCGGACGGGUGAGUAAUGUCUGGGAAACUGUCUGAUGGAGGGGGAGAAAUACAGGAAACGGUAGCUAAUACCGCAUACCACCAGAGGUGACCAGAUGUGAUUAGCUAGUAGGUGGGGUAACGGCUCACCCAGGCGACGAACCCUAGCUGGUCUGAGAGGAUGACCAGCCACACUGGAACUGAGACACGGUCCAGACUCCUACGGGAGGCAGCAGUGGGGAAUAUUGCACAAUGGGCGCAAGCCUGAGGCAGCCAUGCCGCGUGUGUGAAGAAGGCCUUCGGGUUGUAAAGCACUUUCAGCGAGGAGGCGUUACCCGCAGAAGAAGCACCGGCUAACUCCGUGCCAGCAGCCGCGGUAAUAC
rnacentral:rRNA from 1 species